CGUAGGGGCAAGCGUUGUCCGGAAUCACUGGGCGUAAAGCGCGCGCAGGCGGCCAUUUGCGUCCGGGUGAAAGCCCAAGGCUCAACCUUGGGAUUGCCUUGGAUACGGGAUGGCUUGAGGAUCGGAGAGGCAAGGGGAAUUCCACGUGUAGCGGUGAAAUGCGUAGAGAUGUGGAGGAACACCUGUGGCGAAGGCGCCUUGCUGGCCGAUUUCUGACGCUGAGGCGCGAAAGCGUGGGAGCAAACAGGAUU
rnacentral:rRNA from 1 species